UCUCUGGGUCAAAGUGGUAUCAGGGAAGUAUAACCUGGAUGAGAACACUUGGUUACCACAGAUGCCUAGCAGAGGUAGACCUUCAACAAUUUGGAAAAACUUGUGUUCAGUGGGAAGCAUUGGUGCAGAUAUCGAAGAAUGCAUAAUUCAUGACUUUGUUUUCAAGGUCAACUCAGGAAAUAAGAUCAAGUUCUGGAAACACAAUUGGUUAGGUGAUGAAACUCUUGAAGCUGUCUUCCCAAGACUUUAUAGUAUCUCUCUUCAAAAGAAAGCAAUCAUCGCUGAUGUGGUGUGCAACCAAAAUCCAAGUCAAUAGAAUUUACUAUUUAGCAGGAGAUUACGUGACUGGGAAGAGAAUCAACAUGAAACGCUGAAGCAGCUCCUAAAGUGUAGUGCAACUUCAAGACUCAGUUGAUGAUUCUCUUCAAUGGGCUUGGAGUAAUGAUUUGACUUUCACUGUGAAGUCAGCUUAUUUAAAAUGGGAAGGUCAAACAUUUUUGGAAGACAAAGUAUUGUCAUCGAUCUGGAAGAAUAUAUGUCCUCCAAAAUUAAAGUUGAGCUUUUCUCUUGAAUGGUUGUUCAAGAUUGCAUUGCUUCAAAAUCAGAUUUAGUGAGGAGACGGAUUCUUAAUGAGGGUUCAGAUUUGGGUCCAUUUUGCAAUUCUGCUAGUGAAACACCAUCCCACUUACUUUUACAUUGUCAAUUUUCAUGGCAAGUAUGAUCAAGAAUAAUGGACUGGUAGAAAUUUCAAUGGGUUAGCCCCCAAAACCUCAAAUCCCUGUUUCAGCUCUAGGAUCAAACCUCCUUCAGAAAUUUGGAGAGGAUAUGCUGGUUGGCAAGCUUUUAUGCAGUGCUCUGGACCUUAUGGACAUGCAUAAAUGAAGUUGUGUUCAGAAACAAAGUGUGGGGUCUAAAGGAGACCAUUGAUUUAGUACAGACAAGGAUGGCUAUCUAGGUGAAAAGGAUAUAUGAUGUCAAAGAUUACUCUGUGGACGAUUUCAAAAGGUGUUUGGAUGGAAUCAGAUUGGUUAAAAUUUAAGUUUUCUAGUUUUCUGUCUUAGGGUGUCUUUCUGGUUUGUUUUUCCCCUAGUUUUUUCUUCUUUGGGUCUCUUUUUUCCCUUUUUUCGUUUUUCUUUUUGUCUCUGUUUAUUGUAUUUGGUUUCGGUGGGUUGUGAUCUGUGUUUUUUUUCCCUUCUGGGUGAGUCUCUAGUCUGGCUUUAGUCUAGGUGGUUUCUUUUGUCAAUCCUUUUCUGGGUCUCUUUGGGUUUUCUUUGUCCUUAGUCCAGGUGGGUUUUGAGUCUGUUGGGUCUUAGGUUUUUUCUUUGGAGGCGUAUCAUUGGUCUAAGUCCUGGUCUUUUUGCUCUUUGUGGGUCAUUGGUCUACUUCUGUCUUGGGUGUUUACUCUUUUUAUUUGCAACUGGGGAGGGCAAAGAGUAUCUUUACCUUAUCCGUGCUCUUAUCUUUGGUGUCUGCUCUUUUCAUCUCCAACUGUGGAGGGAUAAGAGUGCUUUUACCUUAUCCAUGCUCUUAUCAACUCCAUUCUUUGGAGGGCUAAGAGGUUUUCUCAACAUCAGUGGAUUAAUCUAGCUUUUACACUGAUUUGAGUUUAUACUGCAAUCUCUUUCAUAAUGCUAGAAUGGUGAUACCUGCCUACUGCUGAUGAUGAUGUUCUGUUUCAUUGUGGUUUUCAUCCUUAUAUCGAUCAACUCCUUCUAUGGGAGGCUACGAGGUCAAGAGUUUUUUAUUGGAACUGUCUAUGUUUUUCCCAAUUCUGUGCUUGCUGCUAUGUUUUAUUUGUAGAGACUAUGUUUCUAUUAAGUUGGUGUAGCUCUAUGAAGGAUCUGCUAUGAUUUCUCUCUUUUCAACUCCUAGCUUUGGGAGGGCUAAGAGAGAUCGGGGAUUGUUAAUCCAAUUGGAAAGUGCUGAAUCAAGGUGAUUCAGUUUGUUAUGUUUAUGCUGCUGCUGUUUUCACUUAUGUUUGUCAUCCUCAUAUCAACUCCCCCUUUGGGAGGGCUAUGAGGUCAGGUGGUCAAUCCAAAAUCUCAGGAUGUUUCAAUUAUGAUUUCAAAUUGUUGGUGCUGUUUUCUAAUUAUCUGUUGGUGUGCUUCUUGUUUCCAUUCUGGGAGAUUAUCUUUCUGUUAUGGUGUCUAAGAGGUGAUGAUCUUUCUGUUAUGGUGGCUAAGAGGUUUCCUAUUUCCUCCUGUUACGGGAAGUCAUCUCUAGUUUCUUGAGGUGUCAUGCUCUAUUCUAAAGGGCUAAGAGAUGUCGGGGUCUGCAUUUCUAGAAGAAAAGUGCUGAAAAUGUCCUAAAUUUGUUGCUUAUUGAAGUGAAAGCAAGAGCUCAAGGUGGAUCAAUGUUUUGUUUGAAUUUGUGCUCCUAUUGUCUUACUACUCUGGUGAUGCUUUAGGAUGUAGCAAUAAUCUCUGCUUGUGCUGCUUGGAGGGUGUUCUAGCUAUGAUGGUUGGUUUAUUUUUUGGUUUAGGAUAGCUUUUGCCUCUUCUCUUCCAAAUUCCAAUACUCUAUUGGAAGUCUUUUUUCUUUUUCCUAUUCCAUAUAUUAAUAUCAUGGUUUAGGUUUUCUUUUUCUUUGAUGUACCAUUAUCAAGUUUCUAAUAAUAUAAUCUUGUUGCCGACAAAAAAUAAUAAUAAAGGCCCUAGUUGUGAGAA